rnacentral:lncRNA from 1 species
ACAAAAGAUAACAGCCGUUGAGUUGACAAGAAACUGAAGUUAAGAGACUGAAACGUGAGCCGUUGUCAAACAGAGCUCAAGCUAAACUAAAAUGCGUCCUCUUUGUAACCGCGAUGGGAGGUCGUGGAGAAAAACGUCAACAUGUUAGCGUAGCUUCGUAGAAUGUCUUCACAUCCUCUAUGCUGGAUCCUGACGCGUUCCUCCACUGAUAUUGCAGAGUUGACUGACUCUAAUCCACUCCAGUAAGCGGAGCCAACACGCGGAUCACAGGCGGCCCCCUCAUCGUCUCUCCUCCCCGGGGAGGCCUUUGUGGAGCUAGGGGCUGAGCUUCAGGCGACUCCAGUGUUACAACACUCUUUAUCCCCCCGCCGUUAUCUGUGACUAUCUCGCUCUGUGUCCCCACUAUAGAGGGAGGAAUGUGGAGAAGGAGAGAGAGGAGAGGAAGGAGGGAUGGACUGCAUGUGGGUGUGAGGGGGACAGAGGAUGAAAGAGACGGAAACAGAAAGGGAGAGAUGGAGGGAAACGGUGAUAUCUACGAUAAAUAGAGGAGAAGAAGGUGUGAAUAAAGAGGGGUAGAAAUAAAGAGGGGGAUAGAGGAACAGUGUUUGUAUAAAGGAAUGAUGAGAGUUAAAAAAAGAGAGGACUAAUUUGAGCGAGAGUGAGUCUCACACACAGUAAAUGGAAAGAAAAAGGGAAAGAACCAGAUAAAGGAGGAGGAAGGAAAGCAAAAAUGAAAGUUUUAGUCAGCCAAAGAGAGGAAGAGAGAGACAGUGAGAGAGGCUCUUGAGGGCUAAAUGAAGCCUGAUUCCCCAGAUAUUUGGACCCCCCUCGGGAGCGUACAGUGGUUGCCUGGCACUGAUGAUUGGAGAUAGGCUCCUGAGGGAACAACACAACAGAAUAAGCUGGGAACAGACAAGCGUCUCGCUCCUGUUUGAUUGACGCUUAUUCCGUCAACAUAUCCAGUUCACCAUCGCUCGAACACAUUCCCUUUAAGCGGCACAGUCGGUGUUGUACUGAAUCCCGG